rnacentral:tRNA from 1 species
ACACUGGUGGUUCAGUGGUAGAAUUCUUGCCUUCCAUGCUGGAGACCCUGGUUCGAUUCCCAGCCCAUGCA